rnacentral:rRNA from 1 species
UACGUAGGGUGCAAGCGUUAAUCGGAAUUACUGGGCGUAAAGCGUGCGCAGGCGGCUUUGCAAGACAGAUGUGAAAUCCCCGGGCUUAACCUGGGAACUGCAUUUGUGACUGCAUGGCUGGAGUGCGGCAGGAGGGGGAUGGAAUUCCGCGUGUAGCAGUGAAAUGCGUAGAUAUGCGGAGGAACACCGAUGGCGAAGGCAAUCCCCUGGGCCUGCACUGACGCUCAUGCACGAAAGCGUGGGGAGCAAACAGG